CACUGCGCUCUAUCCUGCAGGAGUUCUAACAGAAUCAAAAGGUGGCAAGGUAGGAUAAGCAGUUUGAAAUAGUCUAGUGACCUCCAGACAACUUCGGUGACUUCCUCCCUGGGAAAGGUGACAGUAUUGGAAAGCCUGGAGAGGAGGCAAAGGCUUAGAGGACAGGAGGGACACGCAGCACCACAGCAGCAGCAUUGCCCAAUGGCAACACCUUCCAACUCCGGGCACCCCCUUCACCCACAGCGACCCCUACCCCAUGUCCCCUUGGCACUAUCCCCUCCCAGUCCAGGUGCCCCAACUCUGCCGGAGGGUUAUUUUGCCACUUUCCCAAGCACUGAAGUCUGUAACCAGGAGUGGGGGAUGGGAGGGGUGUUGAAAGAAGGAGCCUAACAGCAAUUCAAAUUUAUCUGUGUCUCCAGCACACACCUGACAGUUUUGCAGUCUGGGCCGGGCAAGUCUACAAGAGGUGGGCACUACUUAUGCGUGUGUUAUUGAGAGAGGGUGUCCUUUUUCUUUUUCUUUUCUUUUCUUUCUUUUCUUUUCUUUCUUUUUUUCCUCCAAGAGACUCUAAGCAAGUGAAGGGGGAAGGGGGUAGCAAUACGGAUUCCAAGCCGGACUGCAAACACAGAUGCAAAUGUCUGUCUCCAGACGCUGAUGUAAAGCAUGGGGCAGUUACCUUUGGCAGGGUCAGAACUGCAGCAGGUUAAUCGGGUGAGUCCUCGGGGAUUUUUUUUUUUUUUUAAUUUUUUUUUUUCAAAGCAACCGGGGCCGCCCCGGCUGCUUUUGGUUUAGAAAGUUCUACGACCCCCCCAUGCAGGGACAUCGCACAUCUCACACACGCCUCCUUGAGCUGGGCUCCCGCGACCUCGGCGGGGCGAGGGGGUGGCGGGCGGCCGGCGGGCGGCCAGGGCCCGGCCCCAGGCUGUGUCCCCGCGCGCAGCGGCCCUGCGUGGGCCCCGGGGUCCGCGUCCCGAGCGGCGCAGCACUCACCCAGCCGGGCGGCGAGGGGCCGAGCUGCGCCCGCGGCUAGCCGGAGCGCCCAGGCGCCUCCCUUCGCUCUUGGUAGCGUCGGUCCGCACUCCCUGUGACCCAGGACGUCAUGAUGCCUUCCCUGUUUUCUUAAUGAUAACUUGGCAGAAGAGGAGACAGGCUGCCAGGUUCUCCUCGGGUGGUUGCGUGGCAAAUUCUGUUUGUGCUUCACCAACUCACAAGUCAGUGGAGUGGCCAAAUGGCCCCUCUCCUUGGCAGGCAACUCAAACUCUGCAGAGGAAAGAGAGGAGUCACUCACAGUCCUGCAAGUGUUGAGGUUGCAAGGGAAGGGAUGGGAGACAGAAGAAUCCUAACAGGUCUGAAGGGAGGAACAAAGGAGAGAAGAUUUGGGAGAGAGUUGGAGUCAGCUGACUUCAAUAUUCUGUAGUGGACAACUGAAUUAAUUGUAGGCUAUUAAUGAUGUGCAUAUUAAAAUUAAGGAAAUACUGAAUUCGAAUCGAGCUAUUGUGAGGUUACAACCCUUUAGUACAGCCUGAUUCCCUGGCCACAGGAAAGAGGAUGUCGAAGGUAUUGGUAGCUGAAUUCA
ensembl:lncRNA